AGGUAGGAAUACCCGCUGAACUUUAAGCAUAUCAAUAAGCGAGGAAAAGAAACCAACAGGGAUUGCCCUAGUAACGGCGAGUAAGCGGCAACAGCUCAAAUUUGAAAUCUGGCUUCGGCCCGAGUUGUAAUUUGCAGAGGAUGCUUUUGGUGCGGUGCCUUCCGAGUUCCCUGGAACGGGACGCCACAGAGGGUGAGAGCCCCGUAUGGUCGGACACCAAUCCUGUGUAAAGCUCCUUCGACGAGUCGAGUAGUUUGGGAAUGCUGCUCUAAAUGGGAGGUAAAUCUCUUCUAAAGCUAAAUACCGGCCAGAGACCGAUAGCGCACAAGUAGAGUGAUCGAAAGAUGAAAAGCACCUUGAAAAGGGGGUUAAACAGUACGUGAAAUUGUUGAAAGGGAAGCACUUGUGACCAGACUUGGGCCGGGCGGCUCAUCAGGGGUUCUCCCCUGUGCACUCCGCCCGGUACAGGCCAGCAUCGGUUCUUGCCGGGGGAUAAGAACGGUAGGAACGUGGCUCCCCCUCGGGGGAGUGUUAUAGCCUGCCGUACGAUACCCUGGCGGGGACCGAGGUUCGCGCUUCCGCAAGGAUGCUGG
rnacentral:rRNA from 1 species